AGGCAGCUGCCUAAACAUGCAAGUCUCUANGGAGAGUGGGGCAACUCACUCUCAGUGGCAAACGGGUGAGUAACGCGUGAAUAACCUGCCUUUGAGAAGGGGAUAACUGUCCGAAAGGAUAGCUAAUACCCUAUAUUGCCUUUUGUCACUAAGGCAAAAGGUGAAAGCGAGGCUGUCAAAGGCUUCGGCUCAAAGAGGGGUUCGCGUCCUAUCAGGUAGUUGGUGGGGUAAUGGCCUACCAAGCCAAUGACGGGUAGCUGGUCUUAGAGGAUGAUCAGCCACAGUGGGACUGAGACACGGCCCGCACCCCUACGGGGGGCAGCAGUGGGGAAACGUGGGCAAUGGGCGCAAGCCUGACCCCGCAAUGCCGCGUGAGGGAAGAAGCCCUUCGGGGUGUAAACCUCUGUCAGAUGGGAAGAUGGGACUAGGGGCUAAUACCUCCUGGUCUUGACGGUACCAUCGGAGGAAGGGACGGCUAACUACGUGCCAGCAGCCGCGGUAAU
rnacentral:rRNA from 1 species